rnacentral:rRNA from 1 species
GACGAACGCUGGCGGCGUGCUUAACACAUGCAAGUCGAACGGUAAGGCCCUUCGGGGUACACGAGUGGCGAACGGGUGAGUAACACGUGGGUGAUCUGCCCUGCACUUCGGGAUAAGCCUGGGAAACUGGGUCUAAUACCGGAUAGGACCACUGCCUGCAUGGGUGGUGGUGGAAAGCUUUUGCGGUGUGGGAUGGGCCCGCGGCCUAUCAGCUUGUUGGUGGGGUGAGGGCCUACCAAGGCGACGACGGGUAGCCGGCCUGAGAGGGUGACCGGCACACUGGGACUGAGAUACGGCCCGGACUCCUACGGGAGGCAGCAGUGGGGAAUAUUGCACAAUGGGCGCAAGCCUGAUGCAGCGACGCCGCGUGAGGGAUGACGGCCUUCGGGUUGUAAACCUCUUUCAGCACCGACGAAGCGCAAGUGACGGUAGGUGCAGAAGAAGGACCGGCCAACUACGUGCCAGCAGCCGCCGUAAGAC